rnacentral:misc_RNA from 1 species
UUUUUUCACGAAAAAAUUUACAAAAAACGAUUCUAAUAUUUUUCCUUAAUUUAGGAAGAAUUAAUAAAAGUUCUUAAAAUAUCGGCAAAUUCAAUGUAAUAGACAAUUAUAAAAUAAAGUUUGUAGUCAUAUUCUCUUCCCGAAUCGUCCUCUAUUUUACGUCAUAUACUUUGAAUAAUAUAUGCGUUUUUGUCAACAACCAUUCGAAGUUACACAAUCAUCGAAGUAUAUUAUCUGCAAUCUAACAAUAUAGAUAAAAGCAAAAGAUUUUAAUAUAUU